rnacentral:rRNA from 1 species
AGUGAACGCUGGCGGUAGGCCUAACACAUGCAAGUCGAACGGCAGCACAGUAAGAGCUUGCUCUUACGGGUGGCGAGUGGCGGACGGGUGAGGAAUACAUCGGAAUCUACUUUUUCGUGGGGGAUAACGUAGGGAAACUUACGCUAAUACCGCAUACGACCUACGGGGGAAAGCAGGGGAUCUUCGGACCUUGCGCGAUUGAAUGAGCCGAUGUCGGAUUAGCUAGUUGGCGGGGUAAAGGCCCACCAAGGCGACGAUCCGUAGCUGGUCUGAGAGGAGGACCAGCCAAACUGGGACUGAGACACGGCACAGACUCCUACGGGAGGCAGCAGUGGGGAAUUUUGGACAAUGGGCGAAAGCGUGAUCCAGCAAUGCCGCGUGUAUGAUGAAGGCCUUCGGGUUGUAAAGCACUUUUGGCGGGAACGAAAAGGACUGUGCAAAUACCACGGUUAGAUGACGGUACCCGCAGAAUAAGCACCGGCUAACUACGUG